ensembl:lncRNA
GCCUGAGAUGGGGAGAGGAGAAAAGGAAGAAUUAUGAAUCCAUUUUGUGUCUCUUUAGAUGAGAGUCAUGGACAGGGGUCAGGCUUUCAUAGCAUGCUUGAGCUAUGUGCUCUGGCUGGCCAACCCUAUUUGCUACAGGCCCAAAUGUGGUUUGUGAAUAAGGCAGCUUGGGGGAGGGUCUGUCCCUGACUCCUUAGAGACUUGGCUGCUUCCCCCUUCCACCUGGAGUGCUCAAGGCCACUGAAAUGAAGGACCCAUACCCCAGAGCUGACCUAGGGGCAUUCAGAAGCCUAAAGGCGAGACACUACAAGAAGGACAAGAGUAUAACCAAUCUCAGUUCUCUCCAUCUCCUCCUCCCUUGCAGCAAGGAAGACCUAAGACUGAGCCUCUGCUGUGCCAACUGCUUGUGUAGGGCCCUUGGUAUCCACACUUGGCUCUGGUUGGGAAGGAGGUCCUAAGGUUUGACCUGGGAAAUCUGAGCAGACUGUUCCUGGGAUACAUAGAUUCAGUUCAGUUCAGUUCAAUCACUUAGUCAUGUCCCACUCUUCAUGACCCCAUGGACCACAGCACGGUAGGCUCCCCUGUCCAUCCCCAACUCUCAGAGCUUGCUCAAACUCAUGUCCGUCGAGUCCGUGAUGCCAUCCAACUAUCUCAUCCUCUGUCAUCCUCUUUCUUCCUUCAGUCUUUCCCAGCGUCAGGGUCUUUUCUAAUGUGAAGUCAGCUCUUCACAUCAGGUGUCCAAAAAAAGUAUUGGAGCUUCAGCUUCAGCAUCAGCAUCAGUCCUUCCAAUGAAUAUUCAGGAUUGACUUCCUUUAGAAUUGAUUGAUUUGAUCUCCUUGCAGUCUGAGGGACUCUCAAGAGUCUUCUCCAACACCACAGUUCAAAAGCAUCAAUUCUUCAGUGCUCAGCCUUCUUUAUGGUCCAGCUCUCACAUCCAUACAUGACUACUGGAAAAAUCACAGCUUUGACUAGACGGACUUUUGUUGGCAAGCUUUUUAAUAUGCUGUCUAGGUUGGUCAUAGCUUUUCUUUCAAGGAGCAAGUAUCUUUUAAUUUCAUGGCUGCAGUCAACAUCAGCAG